UCAGACUUGGUGGCCAGAAUGGUGGCGAGGAUGAUGUCCGAGAACCUCGAAGAAGGAAAAAAACAUCCUCAGUAAGAAAAAACGAGCACAGCGUGGUGGGAGGUUAAAGCACAGCAACAGCUGGGAGGAGUAAGACUGCUCACAUUGUUCACAUUCCUGUCUAUAAGAGGGGUUUGCGUUAAUAAGAUGUAUCUGCCUGUAAUGUAAUUCAACGAUGUCAGCACAAAUAAAAAGGUCUAUGCGGCCAUUGGACGGGAGAAGAGAGGAAGAGGCCUCCUUGCAACGACAGUGAAGUUGAAUGAAUGCAGAAAUAGAAAGACACAUGCUGGUUUGACUUAAGUAACUCAUGCUGCAAUUAAAGGGAUACAAAUCAAGGCGUUAACCUUCAGAAACAAAUUAAACACAUCAGACUUACCGCAUAGCACAAUUAAAAAAAGAAUGUGCUGCAUUUGCUUUACUGUAGUUUGCAUUUGAUUUAUAUUUUGUCUGCUCAUUUUUGAGGUAAAUUAAUUCUUAAUUGUAGUUUCAAACUGUUUGAUUUUCUUUUUCUCCAAAAGGGGCAUUUCAGCACAGACGAAAAGCAGAACUGCAGUCCUGAAUUGACCAAAGCACCGAUUCACUGGAUCUGCUAACGAUGAAGGAUUUGACUGAGAUUAGGGUCGGGGAUCCAUAAAAAGGACACAAAAUAGGAAAGAAGGGGAUUAAAAAAAAACGACAGGGGUGAUCUAAGCGGAGGAAAGGUGGUUUAGAAUGAUUUGGUCUUACCCUUCUACCAACUGUUCGUCAGUUAGUGGAGAUUGUUCUCUGAAAUGGGAAUUGGGCCAUAAAAAAAAGAAGAAAAAAGCAAACAAAAGGGAAAAUGCAACACACAGUUGGGCUGAAUGCAUAAAAUGGACAUCAACACAACAAACCUGUGAUAGUGUGACGUGAAAAUGCUCGUCUGCAGGUUGAUUCAAGCAAAUAACCAGUUUACUUAAUGCUAAUGUGGUCAAUGUCGUCUUAAAAGCCACAAAAGCCUCAGUUCUGGAUUAAAACCCAGAGCCUGUUUUCUUUAGAGAGGUAUGCGGGGAAAAAUAGAUGUUUGUGUCCUCUUGCCUAGUGAGCUGAAUUGAAACACUUUGAAUGAUCCGCUCCCUACAGACCUGAAGCCAACGUAACUUCAGCCAACAAACAAGGGACCAGCAUUACCUGCCGUAAAGAGGAAGCAUGAGAAAAACGAAAUACUGGGACUUAAAAAGGUUCUCUGCCUGAUAGUUUUGUUCAAAAUCGUUUAUCUUCACCAGUCAGUUAAUAAAUAAAAGUAUUGUGAGUAAAUACUUUAUCAAUAUUCUAGGAUAGAUCACAAAAUAUUAAGAGUUACACUGUUGACAGAUAACUACUGCAAGUAAACAAAGACAAAUACACCAGUGUCUUUUGUUGACAUUCCUUGAUUGUAAUGAGCCAUUUAAGGCAGAAUGAUCAUUUAUAUCAUGUUAAAGAUUAUCUAAGACAAUAUCUCGGCUGAUAUCACAAUGGUGAAAUAAUGAUGUAUUGCCCAGUGGAAAAACUGACUUCAUCUGUAUUUGUGUUUUUACUUUUUAAGUUAUAUUCAUCCCAUGUGGCUCGCCGCCAGCACAAUGCAUACUAUUCGAACCACAAAUACAUGGAACACCAAUUCUUGAUUUAAUGCACUUAAAACAAGAGUUAUGUUAAGUUAAAUUAGAUAUGGCAGAAAAGCCUUUUGCGAGUAUGUGAUUCAUUUUGGAUGAUGAUAUGGUUAGAAUGGGCUGUGCCCACCUACAGUCAAUUUCCUCAGUCAAAGAUUAGUUUAUAUAUUAAAUAAAGACCCCAUAAAUAC